UACGAAGGGGGCUAGCGUUGCUCGGAAUUACUGGGCGUAAAGGGAGCGUAGGCGGACUGUUAAGUUAGAGGUGAAAGCCCAGGGCUCAACCUUGGAAUUGCCUUUGAUACUGGCAGUCUUGAGUACGGAAGAGGUAUGUGGAACUCCGAGUGUAGAGGUGAAAUUCGUAGAUAUUCGGAAGAACACCAGUGGCGAAGGCUACAUACUGGUCCGUUACUGACGCUGAGGCUCGAAAGCGUGGGGAGCAAACAGG
rnacentral:rRNA from 1 species